GCACAGUGGGAGUGAGACCAAUCUUUUGGGCUAUGGGCUGCAUGGGAGCUGGAUAAGGCCUACGGCUGCCAGCUUUAUCUCCCUUCCCUGGUUACCCGUGUGACACAGCAGAGGCAGCCCUAAUACCCCUGGGGACAUAGCUCCUCUCACAAAAUAUAACAUCAAAAAUGACUCAGUACCAAAUAACUCUUAGACCUCAAAAGGUCCUCCCAAGCAGAACCCAAGGUGUGAUGAUAAUUAGAGGC
rnacentral:lncRNA from 1 species